rnacentral:rRNA from 1 species
GUAGGUGGCAAGCGUUGUCCGGAAUUAUUGGGCGUAAAGCGCGCGCAGGCGGUUCUUUAAGUCUGAUGUGAAAGCCCACGGCUCAACCGUGGAGGGUCAUUGGAAACUGGAGAACUUGAGUACAGAAGAGGAAAGCGGAAUUCCACGUGUAGCGGUGAAAUGCGUAGAGAUGUGGAGGAACACCAGUGGCGAAGGCGGCUUUCUGGUCUGUAACUGACGCUGAGGCGCGAAAGCGUGGGGAGCAAACAGGAUUAGAUACCCUGGUAGUCCACGCCGUAAACGAUGAGUGCUAAGUGUUAGGGGGUUUCCGCCCCCCUUAGUGCUGCAGCCAACGCAUUAAGCACUCCGCCUGGGAGUACGGCCGCAAGGCUG